AGGAGCUUGCUCCUCUGACGUUAGCGGCGGACGGGUGAGUAACACGUGGAUAACCUACCUAUAAGACCGGGAUAACUUCGGGAAACCGGAGCUAAUACCGGAUAAUAUAUUGAACCGCAUGGUUCAAUAGUGAAAGACGGUUUUGCUGUCACUUAUAGAUGGAUCCGCGCCGCAUUAGCUAGUUGGUAAGGUAACGGCUUACCAAGGCGACGAUGCGUAGCCGACCUGAGAGGGUGAUCGGCCACACUGGAACUGAGACACGGUCCAGACUCCUACGGGAGGCAGCAGUAGGGAAUCUUCCGCAAUGGGCGAAAGCCUGACGGAGCAACGCCGCGUGAGUGAUGAAGGUCUUCGGAUCGUAAAACUCUGUUAUUAGGGAAGAACAAAUGUGUAAGUAACUAUGCACGUCUUGACGGUACCUAAUCAGAAAGCCACGGCUAACUACGUGCCAGCAGCCGCGGUAAUACGUAGGUGGCAAGCGUUAUCCGGAAUUAUUGGGCGUAAAGCGCGCGUAGGCGGUUUUUUAAGUCUGAUGUGAAAGCCCACGGCUCAACCGUGGAGGGUCAUUGGAAACUGGAAAACUUGAGUGCAGAAGAGGAAAGUGGAAUUCCAUGUGUAGCGGUGAAAUGCGCAGAGAUAUGGAGGAACACCAGUGGCGAAGGCGACUUUCUGGUCUGUAACUGACGCUGAUGUGCGAAAGCGUG
rnacentral:rRNA from 1 species